rnacentral:rRNA from 1 species
GCGUUGUCCGGAAUCAUUGGGCGUAAAGGGCGCGUAGGUGGCGCGGUAAGCGUGCGGUGAAAGCUCGGGGCUCAACCCCGAGUCUGCCGUGCGAACUGCCGGGCUUGAGCACUGUAGAGGCAGGCGGAAUUCCGGGUGUAGCGGUGGAAUGCGUAGAGAUCCGGAAGAACACCGGUGGCGAAGGCGGCCUGCUGGGCAGUAGCUGACACUGAGGCGCGACAGCGUG